ACCUAUCUGACGAGUCCCAAAUAGGACGAAACGCGCGUCAUGUAU
rnacentral:hammerhead_ribozyme from 1 species